UAUACACACAUCUAUUAUAUAUACACACUUCUAUUAUAUGUACACACAUCUAUUAUAUAUACACACAUAAACACAAUAUAUAUACACACAUCUAUUAUAUAUACACACAUAAACACAGCAUAUAAACACACAUCUAUUAUAUAUACACACAUCUAUUAUAUAUUUACACACAUAAACACAACAUAUAAACAUGUCAUGUCAAAAGAAAUGAGCUAAAAGCCGCAUCUGAUGUAAGUUAGUAAUUAGUAAUUUAUUGAUUGAUUGAUUGAUUGAUUAGUAAUUAGUAAUUGAUGCUGGAGGUCUUUGGGUUAGUCCCUGACGAAAAAGAAAUGUUCUGCAUUUGCUUUAGAAGAGGAGGAUGAGGAGAACGAGGACACAGAGGACUCGGAGGAGGAAGAGGGGGAGGAAGAGGAGGAGAGCGACGAGGACCUGACGGGCGCCGCGGCUCCAGCUCCCACCCGCCCUCCAUACAGCCUCAUCCCCCCUCCUCCCGUGUGGGUGCAGCGGAACCAGGGCCUGGCUCGCAGCUGGGUGGAGCUCAUCCGGGAGAAGGCAGGAUACGUGUCUGGCAUGUUGGCCCCGGUGGGCAUCGGUAUAGCCGGGGCUCUGCUCAUCGUGGGAGCCCUCUACAGCAUCAGGAUGAUCCACCGCAAGAGGAAGAACAGCUUCAAGCACCAGCGGAGGAAGGUGAGAGAUGUGUGUGUGUGUGUGUGUGUGUGUGUGUGUGUGUGUGUGUGCGUGUGUGUGUGUGUGUGUGUGUGUGUGUGUGUGUGUGUGUGUGUGUGUGUAGCAUCAGGAUGAUCCACCGCAAGAGGAAGAACAGCUUCAAGCACCAGCGGAGGAAGGUGAGAGAUGUGUGUGUGUGUGUGUGUGUGUGUGUGUGUGUGUGUGUGUGUGUGUGUGUGUGUGUGUGUGUGUAGCAUCAGGAUGAGCCACCGCAAGAGGAAGAACAGCUUCAAGCACCAGCGGAGGAAGGUGAGAGAUGUGUGUGUGUGUGUGUGUGCGUGUGUGUGUGUGUGUGUGUGUGUGUGUGUGUGUGUGUGUGUGUGUGUGUAGCAUCAGGAUGAUCCACCGCAAGAGGAAGAACAGCUUCAAGCACCAGCGGAGGAAGGUGAGAUGUGUGUGUGUGUGUGUGUGUGUGUGUGUGUGUGUGUGUGUGUGUGUGUGUGUGUGUGUGUGUGUAGCAUCAGGAUGAUCCACUGCAAGAGGAAGAACAGCUUCAAGCACCAGCGGAGAAAGGUGAGAUGUGUGUGUGUGUGUGUGUGUGUGUGUGUGUGUGUGUGUGUGUGUGUGUGUGUGUGUGUGUGUGUGUAGCAUCAGGAUGAUCCACUGCAAGAGGAAGAACAGCUUCAAGCACCAAGGAGGAAGGUGAGAGAUGUGUGUGUGUGUGUGUGUGUGUGUGUGUGUGUGUGUGUGUGUGUGUGUGUGUGUAGCAUCAGGAUGAUCCACCGCAAGAGGAAGAACAGCUUCAAGCACCAGCGGAGGAAGGUGAGAGAUGUGUGUGUGUGUGUGUGUGUGUGUGUGUGUGUGUGUGUGUGCGUGUGUGUGUGUGUGUGUGUGUGUGUGUGUGUGUGUGUGUGUGUGUGUGUAGCAUCAGGAUGAUCCACCGCAAGAGGAAGAACAGCUUCAAGCACCAGCGGAGGAAGGUGAGAGAUGUGUGUGUGUGUGUGUGUGUGUGUGUGUGUGUGUGUGUGUGUGUGUGUGUGUGUGUGUGUGUGUGUAGCAUCAGGAUGAUCCACCGCAAGAGGAAGAACAGCUUCAAGCACCAGCGGAGGAAGGUGAGAGAUGUGUGUGU
ensembl:lncRNA